rnacentral:rRNA from 1 species
UCCCCUACGGGGGGCAGCAGUGAGGAAUAUUGGUCAAUGGGCGCGAGCCUGAACCAGCCAAGUCGCGUGAGGGAUGACGGUCCUACGGAUUGUAAACCUCUUUUGCCGGGGAGCAAGCGUGCGUUCGUGAACGCGCGUCGAGAGUACCCGGAGAAAAAGCAUCGGCUAACUCCGUGCCAGCAGCCGCGGUAAUACGGAGGAUGCGAGCGUUAUCCGGAUUUAUUGGGUUUAAAGGGUGCGCAGGCGGUCUGUUAAGUCAGCGGUCAAAGCCCGGGGCUCAACCCCGGCCCGCCGUUGAAACUGGG